rnacentral:rRNA from 1 species
GAUGAACGCUGGCGGCGUGCCUAAUACAUGCAAGUCGAGCGAACAGACGAGGAGCUUGCUCCUCUGACGUUAGCGGCGGACGGGUGAGUAACACGUGGAUAACCUACCUAUAAGACUGGGAUAACUUCGGGAAACCGGAGCUAAUACCGGAUAAUAUAUUGAACCGCAUGGUUCAAUAGUGAAAGACGGUUUUGCUGUCACUUAUAGAUGGAUCCGCGCCGCAUUAGCUAGUUGGUAAGGUAACGGCUUACCAAGGCGACGAUGCGUAGCCGACCUGAGAGGGUGAUCGGCCACACUGGAACUGAGACACGGUCCAGACUCCUACGGGAGGCAGCAGUAGGGAAGCGUCCGCAAUGGGCGAAAGCCUGACGGAGCAACGCCGCGUGAGUGAUGAAGGUCUUCGGAUCGUAAAACGCUGUUAUUAGGGAAGAACAAAUGUGUAAGUAACUAUGCACGUCUUGACGGUACCUAAUCAGAAAGCCACGGCUAACUACGU